CCAAUCCCAAGAGUUUAUUAUAAAAUUAUUACAGCCCAGAAUAAAGAUAAAAGAAUACAUUAGAAAUUAAAAGAUACAACCAAAGAGAGCCUGAUUCAGACUUCGUGUCUGAAAUAUGAGGUAAACCAACUCCAAAGAUCAUGAUCCACAGCCUUUCUCCCAUAUGGAUGUGUCAAAGUUCCCUAAGAUCCUCAAAGGGGACUAGGAGCUAUGCUCACACCCAAAUACAUAUUAAAAUUAAGACAAGUGCAGUGUGGAAGAGCCCGCCCUCAAGUGUUCAAGUUAAGGGAGAACUCAAGGUCCCAAGGCAAGACUCAAAAGAGGGGGCAUAACUUAGAGACUAAGGGAGUGUGCAAGUGCAGAAACGGAAAAGGCAAAAGGGAAAGGGAAACAGUUACAAGUAGGCGCAUAUAGGGGUACAUGGGAAUGGGAAAUUAAAAAGACUAGGAAAACUGUGGGCAUACCCAAUAAUAGAGAGUUCUAGUAUACCUAGGAGCCUACUAGAACACACUAUUAGAGGCUAGGAUCCCAAAGGAUCAAGUUUAGUUCAGGACAAUAACUUGAAUAUGGUUAUGCCUUAAGCCAUAGCUCAAACACAUAGGGACAUGGGUUUUGGGAUUCACAAUAGGAACAAAUAUAAGGAAUGCUAAUUAAGGUGUUGAAUGCUACAGAAACAAUAAGUAGACAUGGGUACAAAAGCAGUAAAUUCACAUUGAUGUGGUGCUAAAGAUUAAAUCCGGACAUACCAGUUUCAAAGAGACAAAUCAAAAAAAUAGUAGGUCUUGUAAACAGGUCAGGGUGCCAACAAAAGAGAGAAUACUAUUGUGUAUAAAUGUGAGUUCAGAAAGACUGUGAAUGAGUGAUGCUUUGUGAAAGAGGCAUGCCUUUAUAGUGUGAAAAGCAGACAGAAAUAAGGUAAGAAAACAGUUAAGGAACUUAUUAUCAAUUAAGAAUCUAUCACACAAGACUUCCUUUAAUUAAGGGAUUCAAAUUCAAACGGGAGAACUAUUUAAGGGGAAGAAGUCAAAUAAACAUCUUGUGAAAAGCAUGUCAUUAGGGACAUAUACAUAAAAAGUUAUUUAAAGAUUGAAUUUUGAAAUACACGGUUGUAUGAAUAGGGUAAGAAAAUAAAUUAAUAGCCAGUAAAAUUAGAGAUUUUAUAAUCAUUGGUCCAUGAAUGAACCAGGUCAAAAAAACUGAGAAAGAUUUUAACUUAAGUCGAAUCAUAGGGAAAUUAGCAAACAAUGGAAAGAAAUCAAUUAGACCUAUUAAGAAGGAAAUCUGAACCAAUCACAAAUUUGAAAGCUAUUUUAGAGGGAAGUUCAUCACAUAUAAAGAGCGCACAAGUGUCAGGCAUGCGAGAAGGGAUCAAGAAAAGGUCUCGUAGAAUUUGGCAAAAGUUAGAGUCACAUGAAGAAACAAAAUUGAAACAUUGAUUCUGAAGCUUAAUGAAGCAGUAGAUGAAAUAAUUCCAAGAACUAAAAAUAGGUUAAAAUUAGGGUUUCAAAAUUAGGCAAGUUUCACAGAUGAAGAGCCAGCAAAUCACGUAGCUACGAGUCUCAAAAGCUUGGCUGAACCCCAAAAUUUAGGGUUAUUGUCGUAGUUGAGUACAGAGACAAAAGUGCAGGUGACUAAGGGGAAGAGAAACUACUUGAAAAUAGGUUCAGGGUCUCAGAAAAGGACUGAGAACCUUAACACGUCUUUCAGCAGCAGAAAACUCAUGAACAACAUGGUAAACGAAUAGCAUGUGAAGCACAGUAGAGAAACUCAAAGGAACUGAUAAUACACAUAAAUGAAAAAUUAAUAAGAAUAGUAGGAGAAACAAAUUAAGAAGCAUAUUAGGAGAAACUUGACUAGAACACUUAAUAAGAAACACACGCAAGAACACAGUAGAGGAAAAUACAGUAGAAGAAACACAGAAGAACUCAAUAGAGGAAAAUAUAAUAGAAGAAACACACAAAAGAAAGAUAAAGUCAGAGAAACAUUCAAAUAUUCUCAGAAAAACCCUAUGUCAGAAAAAGGAAACAAUUUUGAAAGUAGUUUUUUGAAAGAAAAGUCAAGAAAAUCGUUUAAACGCUGAAGGAGAGCAUAGAUCUGGAACAGAUCUAAAGAGAUCAGAAAAACCUCGAAGAGAGGGUUUUCAGAGAAACCCAAAUGGCGAGAAAAGGCUCGGAUCUAAAUAGAAAGAGUAGUAGCCAGGCUUGAAACAGACAUAGCUUGCCGAAGCAGGUCCGGAGAUGGCCGUAAAGCUUGAAUCAACAGAGGUCUGGACCCAACUCUUCGUGGUCAAGCCCUGGGUCUUCAGUUAACCAAACAUGAGGAGCUAUAGGUGGCUUGGUGGGCGGUGAAACCGUCAUAGAUUGAGGUUAGAAGUCGGCCGGAGAAGACGAAUAUGACUCAUCAGAGAUGAGGGAAGGGGAAAGGUUUUAGAGAGAACUAGAAGUAGAGAGAUAGAGACGAGUGAGGGAGAAUAAGGGGUAUUGGGGGGGUCGUGUGGAUUAAUUUAGGUAGGUUAAAUGGGGACUGUUGAUCUGAAUUAUCAACGAUCCGGAUUGAAUGGGGCAGGUGGGUCGAGUAUGUUAAUUGGAC
rnacentral:lncRNA from 1 species